AUCCUUCUGUAGUUUAUAAGCAUGAUGACUGAGUAUUCUCCCGCAUGUGUGAGACGUGCUGCCCUUAAACUUUGUUAUGGUGUCGCACACUGCCAGUCUGAAA
rnacentral:snoRNA from 1 species